AUUGAACGCUGGCGGCAUGCCUUACACAUGCAAGUCGAACGGCAGCACGGGUGCUUGCACCUGGUGGCGAGUGGCGAACGGGUGAGUAAUACAUCGGAACAUGUCCUGUAGUGGGGGAUAGCCCGGCGAAAGCCGGAUUAAUACCGCAUACGAUCUACGGAUGAAAGCGGGGGACCUUCGGGCCUCGCGCGAUAGGGUUGGCCGAUGGCUGAUUAGCUAGUUGGUGGGGUAAAGGCCUACCAAGGCGACGAUCAGUAGCUGGUCUGAGAGGACGACCAGCCACACUGGGACUGAGUCACGGCCCAGACUCCUACGGGAGGCAGCAGUGGGGAAUUUUGGACAAUGGGCGAAAGCCUGAUCCAGCAAUGCCGCGUGUGUGAAGAAGGCCUUCGGGUUGUAAAGCACUUUUGUCCGGAAAGAAAUCCUUGGCCCUAAUACGGUCGGGGGAUGACGGUACCGGAAGAAUAAGCACCGGCUAACUACGUG
rnacentral:rRNA from 1 species